UACGUAGGGUGCAAGCGUUAUCCGGAAUUAUUGGGCGUAAAGAGCUCGUAGGCGGUUUGUCACGUCUGCUGUGAAAACUGGAGGCUCAACCUUCAGCCUGCAGUGGGUACGGGCAGACUAGAGUGCGGUAGGGGAGAUUGGAAUUCCUGGUGUAGCGGUGGAAUGCGCAGAUAUCAGGAGGAACACCGAUGGCGAAGGCAGAUCUCUGGGCCGUUACUGACGCUGAGGAGCGAAAGCGUGGGGAGCGAACAGG
rnacentral:rRNA from 1 species